rnacentral:rRNA from 1 species
AUACGAAAGGUGCAAGCGUUGUUCGGAUUUACUGGGCGUAAAGAGAGUGUAGGUGGUUUAUUAAGUCGGAUGUGAAAUCCCGGGGCUCAACCUCGGAACUGCAUUCGAUACUGAUAGGCUAGAGUUUGGGAGGGGUAAGCGGAAUUCCGUGUGUAGCAGUGAAAUGCGUAGAUAUACGGAGGAACACCUGAGGCGAAGGCGGCUUACUGGACCGAUACUGACACUGAGACUCGAAAGCGUGGGUAGCAAACAGGAUUAGAAACCCUAGUAGUCC